rnacentral:misc_RNA from 1 species
GAUGAAGAACGUAGCGAAUGCGAUAAGUAAUGUGAAUUGCAGAAUUCAGUGAAUCAUCGAAUCUUUGAACGCAUCUUGCGCUCCUUGGUAUUCUGAGGAGCAUGCCUGUUUGAGUGUCAUUAAAUUCUCAACUACACUGACUUUGAAUUGGUGUGGCUUGGAUUUGGGGGGAAAAUUGUUGUGGGCUUUUUGUAUAGUCUGCUCCCCUGAAAUUGAUUAGCGGUACCUUUGUGGAACUGUCUACAGGUGUGAUAAUUAUCUACAUCUUAGACAUCUGCUGGAAUGCUGCUUUCUAAACCUUACUUGUAUUGACAAUCUUGACCUCAAAUCAGGUAGGACUACCCGCUGAACUUAAGCAUAUCAAUAAGCGGAGGA